CAUGGCAAGGGAGUAUUUCAGAAAGUUAUGAAAGUCCACUGGAGCCGAACCUGAUUUCAUGUGUUUGGAAAGAGAGAGGCUGACUUCAUGUGUUUGGAUGGGAAGAGAGGAGUGUAAUUAUCGGUAAGUUGAACAAUGACAGAGGAGGUGGGAGUCAAGAGGGGCCCCCUCUUCCCGGCAAUGGGGAUGUCAGAGGCUGAGAGGAGAUCCGCAUGUGCCCUCCUCACGUUGAUUUGGCUGUGAUGUUUGGCUGUGAUAAGCACUUUUCCAGGAAGGAGGGCAGAGAGAGAGGAAAGGCUCCGGGUUGUGUGGAGAGGAAUAGAGAGGAGGAAAACAGCAGAGCAGAUCACAAGGAAGAUCAACACACACCGACUGAAAUCUGUUACAGAGGAUAUUCUUUGUUGGUGAUUCUGGGGCUGAAACAGUGGAUGUUCCAUUCCAUGUGGAUGAAGCUCCCUCGUCUUGACCGAGACGUCUCCCGUCUGACAGCGAUGACGCAAGAGGGAGGGUGACAGGUCUCAAGCCUUUAACAAGUCUCUACAUUUAUGCUGUGAGUACAAACAUCUCCGUUCAACUUUUAUCUUCCUCCUCAACCUCCACCUCUCUCUCUCACUCUAUUUAAUUUUCCUUCUUGCCACAUCUUUUCCUCACUUCUCACAGUUGUUUUCUCCCCUCCUCUCCUCACACACACACACACACACACACACACACACACACACACACACACACACACACACACGCAUAUCAUGUGGAGUGACUAGGAAGUCUGAAAUUGUGAGGUGAGGAGAGCUGUUGUCAGGGGUCAGCCAUCACUACUUGUAUUCCCCACACUCAUCUUUCCUUCAUACACACACACACACACACACACACACACACACACACACACACACACACACACACACACACACACACACACACACACACAUUUAUCUCUGUUUCUCUCUUACACAGACACACACAAACUCUCUCUCUCUCACACAAAAAAACACUGACACACACACACAUUGACUCACACACAGAGAAACACACACACACACACACAGACACACUCUGCUAUUUCCCCUGGUGUGGGUUCAGUGGCUGGGCAUGGCCGCCACCCAGGCAGAGCCACUGAUGAGAUGAGCCUGUCCCUGUCCCUGUCAGUGAAGGCCUCUCUCUCUCCCAGCUCUCUCUCUCUCUCUCUCUCUCUCUCUCUCUCUCCUGGGCAAACAGCACACUGACAGGCAGCCAGAGUCCACUAGCCAAGGCGGUAGAGGGGCCAGCCAGUUAGCGUCAGAGACGAGGCGGACCGGCUAAAAAUACACCACAACCGAUCGGCU
rnacentral:lncRNA from 1 species